rnacentral:rRNA from 1 species
CGGACGGGUGAGUAACACGUGAGCAACCUACCUUUGCGAGGGGGAUAACGUUUGGAAACGAACGCUAAUACCGCAUGACAUAUGGAUGGGGCAUCCUGUUCAUAUCAAAGAUUUAUCGCGCAGAGAUGGGCUCGCGUCCGAUUAGCCAGUUGGCGGGGUAAAGGCCCACCAAAGCGACGAUCGGUAGCCGGACUGAGAGGUUGAACGGCCACAUUGGGACUGAGACACGGCCCAGACUCCUACGGAAGGCAGCAG